AAGAAAAAGAAAGAAAGAAAGAAAGAAAGAAAGAAAGAAAGAAAGAAAGAAAGAAAGAAAGAAAGAAAGAAAGAAAGAAAGAAAGAAAGAAAGAAAAAAGAAAAAGAAAGGCAGCGGAGAAUUCUUUCUCGGUUCCCCAACUGCCUAGUCCAGAGAAUGGUCAGUGGGUCUCCAAAAGACAUCCCAACAGGAGGGAAAAAGUGUAUGACACAGUUCCCAAGGAUGAGGCAGAGAGAAGAAGAUCUAAAGGCCCGAGUGUUCUGGCAUCCCAGGGAUCCAGGGAGGAUCAGAUUAAAUGGGCACAUGCUGUUCAGUACAUCAUCACGCACGAAUAGUGGCCGAGGGCUAAGAGCCUGAGAGAGAGACACAGUUGCCAGGUACCAGGACUUUGAGAAAAGCCAGAAGGCGAGGAGAGGCCUGUGCUCAAGAAAGGAAGCCUCCCAUCUAGGGGGAUGGACAGAGGCGGUGGCCCCACCAGAGACUCAACUGCUGUUACUGGAUGGCAGGCAAAGCUGUCGGUGAAUGAGAAAGCCGAUUUGGUGCAGGUGGCAGAGAGCGGACCCACUGCAGGUGGAGCAGGUGGGUAAGGUCCUAGCGUGAAGCGGGUGCCUUUGGCGGGCCCUGCCAAGGUAGACCACCAAGCAAAUAUGCCACAGACAGCAGUUAGCUUCUUGGGAGGGGAGAGCUGAAGAGUGGAUGAGUGAAAGACUGCGUGGGGACUGGAGAGAGGCAGGCAGGCAAGAGCAAGAGAAGCGAGGGAAAAGAAGAGACAAGAGAGGGCAAUAGAGACAAGGAGAGGAGUAAGAGGCAAGAGAUAAGAGGACGAGCCCUUUUAAGGGUGCACACGCCGUGGAAAAGGACCUGGAGACAGGGGGUGACGUAACUGCUUUGGCAGAGGCUGGCCAGGGGAGACGCAGCGUAACAGGGAGGCACAGUAGCAGGCUUCCCAGCUAGCAGGAGCCGAGGAGAGCAGGAAGAAAGAACAGAGAGAAGGGCUCGGAAAAAGCCUGAAAACAGGGCACCCCCCUUCCAUCUAUUGGAUCUUGGCAGAAGUUGCAAAGGUCCCGUGAAAUACUGGGAUGGGGGUUGCCGCUUACGCUCGCUCGCUGAGUCCCACACCUGUGACGUCACUUGAUCUCCUCAAGUUUUGAAAUCUGUGAAUGAGCCUGGGCUGGUGCUGUUGGCAUCUCUGUGGAGAUCAGACGCUCCCAAGUAUAUGACCUGACCCAGCCCCACCCUCUCUUGUACAAAUACUCUCCGGUGAGAGACAGAGACAGCCUUCCUGUCCCUGACUCUGCACUCUCAGGAGUCCUGUGUGUCGCUUCCUGCUCUUGCCCCCUAAAGAUGAAUCCAGGUCACAAGGGUCCUCACUGUGGGCCACCUGGCCAUGGACCUGGAGGCCACCACCCUCCAGGACCUGGUUGCCCACCCCCUGGCCAUGGCCCAGGACACUGUCCCCCACCCCCUGGCCACGGCCCAGGACACUGUCCCCCACCCCCUGGCCACGGCCCAGGACACUGUCCCCCACCCCCUGGCCAUGGCCCAGGACACUGUCCCCCACCCCCUGGCCACGGCCCAGGUCCACAUCACUGAGAAAUCGGAAGAAGAGAGGACACAAGAUGAGGAGCUUCCACAGAACCCCCAGCUGGCCCAGCCCAGGGGUCUAAACCUGAAUUCUCCCUUCCGAAUAAAUAGCCUCCUGGAGGCCAUGUUUG